rnacentral:miRNA from 17 species
CCUAUUCUUGAUUGCUUGCACU